rnacentral:rRNA from 1 species
UUGAGGAAGUAAAAGUCGUAACAAGGUCUCCGUUGGUGAACCAGCGGAGGGAUCAUUACAGAGUUAUACAACUCCCAUACCAUCUGUUAACCUACCCAGUUAUGCCUCGGCGUAAGCUCGGUUGGAGGCACCUGCAGCUACCCUGUAGUUGCGGACUGCCAACUCCAGCCGCGGCCCGCCGGCGGUACACUAAACUCUGUUUUAUUUUAUAUUCUGAGCGUCUUAUUUUAAUAAGUUAAAACUUUCAACAACGGAUCUCUUGGUUCUGGCAUCGAUGAAGAACGCAGCGAAAUGCGAUAAGUAAUGUGAAUUGCAGAAUUCAGUGAAUCAUCGAAUCUUUGAACGCACAUUGCGCCCAUCAGUAUUCUGGUGGGCAUGCCUGUUCGAGCGUCAUUUCAACCCUUAAGCCUAGCUUAGUGUUGGGAAUCUGCUGUACUGCAGUUCCUUAAAGACAGUGGCGGAGCGGCGGUAGUCCUCUGAGCGUAGUAAUUUAUUUCUCGCUUUUGUCAGGCUCUGUCCUCCCGCCAUAAAACCCCCAGUUUUUUAGUGGUUGACCUCGGAUCAGGUAGGAAUACCCGCUGAACUUAAGCAUAUCAAUAAGCGGAGGAA